CCUACGGGGGGCUGCAGUGGGGAAUAUUGGACAAUGGGCGCAAGCCUGAUCCAGCAAUGCCGCGUGUGUGAAGAAGGCCUUAGGGUUGUAAAGCACUUUCAGCAAUGAAGAAGUUGUAUUGGCUAAUAUCCAAUAUAAUUGACGUUAGUUGCAGAAGAAGUACGGGCUAACUCUGUGCGAGCAGCCGCGGUAAUACAGAGAGUGCAAGCGUUAAGCGGAGGGUUUGUAGGUUGAGAGAAAGGUUGGAGGUGAAAUCCCUGGGCUUAACCUAGGAAUUGCAUUUAAUACUUUUUAUCUAGAGUAUUGUAGGGGGAAGUGGAAUUUCCGGUGUAGCGGUGAAAUGCGUAGAUAUCGGAAGGAACACCAGUGGCGAAGGCGACUUCCUGGACAAAUACUGACACUGAGACACGAAAGCGUGGGGAGCAAACAGGAUUAGAUACCCCUGUAGUC
rnacentral:rRNA from 1 species